rnacentral:rRNA from 1 species
AGUGAACGCUGGCGGUAGGCCUAACACAUGCAAGUCGAACGGCAGCACAGUAAGAGCUUGCUCUUACGGGUGGCGAGUGGCGGACGGGUGAGGAAUACAUCGGAAUCUACUUUUUCGUGGGGGAUAACGUAGGGAAACUUACGCUAAUACCGCAUACGACCUACGGGUGAAAGCAGGGGAUCUUCGGACCUUGCGCGAUUGAAUGAGCCGAUGUCGGAUUAGCUAGUUGGCGGGGUAAAGGCCCACCAAGGCGACGAUCCGUAGCUGGUCUGAGAGGAUGAUCAGCCACACUGAAACUGAGACACGGUCCAGACUCCUACGGGAGGCAGCAGUGGGGAAUAUUGGACAAUGGGCGCAAGCCUGAUCCAGCCAUACCGCGUGGGUGAAGAAGGCCUUCGGGUCGUAAAGCCCUUUUGUUGGGAAAGAAAAGCAGCAGGUUAAUACCCCGCUGUUCUGACGGUACCCAAAGAAUAAGCACCGGCUAACUUCGUG